ACGUAGGGUGCGAGCGUUACUCGGAAUUACUGGGCGUAAAGGGCGCGUAGGCGGCGCACCAAGUUAGGCGUGAAAGUCCUGGGCUCAACCUGGGAACUGCGCUUGAUACUGGUGUGCUUGAGGAUGGAAGAGGGUUGUGGAAUUCCCAGUGUAGAGGUGAAAUUCGUAGAUAUUGGGAAGAACACCGGUGGCGAAGGCGGCAACCUGGUCCAUUACUGACGCUGAGGCGCGACAGCGUGGGGAGCAAACAGGA
rnacentral:rRNA from 1 species